CCUUAUUUAUUUAUUCAUUUCCCCCAGUUCCACUGGGCAUUCGCUGGGCUCGGCCUGUUCGGGACCAACGUCCAGUGGGUACGUCGCAUCCCCCCGACCCGGGGGCGGAAGAGAGAGGACUCCGUGUGUGAGCCCGUUUCUUUUCGCCUGCCCCCGUUUCUCUGUAGACACGUCACGCUCGACAUACCCACCAGUGUUACCAUUCCUGACGACACAUGCAUAUGCGAAUAUACCUUAUUAUUUAUUUGUGCGGGGGCGGCCCGCCCUCGCCGAGGCCCGCGUCGCCUCCGGGAAGAACCGAAUACCUCAGUUUCUGUGUUGAGUCCUCGUCCCGUCCUGCACACACACGGCCCGAGCAGGCUCGCCCCCCGCGCACCGGCGGGAAGAAGGCGCCUGUGUGGUUGUCUUUAGUUGCCAACAGUUGUCUGUUCGCUGAUUUAUUUAUGACCCGGAAUAAUAUAUUUCUUCUUCUGAGAAGACAUUUUGUUACAUAAGGAUGACUUUUUUUUUUAUACAGCGGAAUAAAUUAUGCCAUUUCUAUUGAA